GUUAAGUUGACUAUUUGUGAGAUGAUACAUUGUAUAUUUGUUAGCAAUGUCUAAGUGUUUACUUUGUGAGAAUUGUAGCCAGCAGUAAGUGAGUUAAUUCUCUGUGUAUUGAUCCUAAAUAAUUGUCAGCAUCAUUUUUAAAACUCUGUGCGAUGUGUAACAUUCUGUGUGUGUAAUGGAACUCUAAGAUGAGCUCUAUAAG